CCCCUCUCAGAGUCACACUUGGAGAGUUUCCAGGACUUUACCAGUCUCGACUAUGGGAGGGAGAGUCAAGCAGAGGCAUACCCAUUUCAUUCCUAGCUUGGGCAGUGGCUAGCAAGUGGAAAGCAAUCUGCUAUAAGU